GGGUCAGUAGGUUGGUCGUGCCACCGGUACGUACUGGUCUCACUGAUUCCUCCUUCCUGAAGAACCGUAAUGCCAUUAAUUUGGUGUUGCGGGGAAACAGGACUGUUACUUUGAAAAAAUUAGAGUGUUUAAAGCAAGCUAACGCUUGAAUACAUUAGCAUGGAAUAAUGAACUAGGACGAUCGAUCCUAUUUUGUUGGUUUCUAGGAUUGACGUA
rnacentral:rRNA from 1 species